AUGACAAUAUCCAUGUUAUCGUUGUCGACGAGAAGGGGCGUGCUACUCAUUAGAGUGAAGGAAAUAGGAGAAGAAGAAAGUACGCAGAUAGACGCAUCACCAUCAGAGAAUAACAAUGAGUCUACUCCGUACUCGGCAGACAUCAUGGACGAGAUGCUCAUUGAUGCUGUAGAGCAGAGACCAGGUCUAUGGAAUCAAAAGUUGCCAGUUCAAAGGCGAAGCUCCUGUAUACGAGGAGAAUUGUGGGAUGAAGUCUUUAUUAAUCUUGGGAUUUUCAGGUUUCAAAGAUGUAACGUGGAUGAAAUCUCGAUGGACGUACUUGAGGGACUGCUAUUCAAAAGCUCGCAAAAAAAUGAAAGGUUACGUACGUAGUGGAUCGGGUGCGGAAGCGGGACAUCCGCAGAAAAGUACAUUCCGCUUCUAUUCAAGGAUGCAAUUUCUAGACGAGGCUGCACAAGAAACUCCUACAACGAGCUCUCUACCACGGAACAUAUGUCAUGACGAAGAUAUUGCACUGAGCCAGAACAAUUCGGAAUUCGAAGAACGUAAUGUGUCUUCUCCAAGAAGUUGUAGCACGCCAGACAUUCCUGAAGGAGCAGGAAGUUCAGAUGAUUACAGACCACGAAAAAAACAAAAAGGAAAACAGUACGACUCCGAUGUGCAGGCACUGCAUAACAACAUAUUACAGCAGUUACUUGGCGAAAAUGCACCAAAGAAAGAUGCAGUGGACAGUUUCUUGGAGCAGGUGGGAGAUAUCCUGCGUAGAUUGAGCUAUCUCCGAAGAAGGCAAAUACAAGUAGAGUUGCUGAAUCUCGUUCACAGGGCAGAAGAUGAAGAAUUAGCGGAGGCGGAACUUCAAAGAGGAUAAAUUUUUUAUAUUAUUAUUACCUUUAUUUUAUGCCAAUACAUUAUACA